CCUACGGGAGGCAGCAGUAGGGAAUCUUUCACAAUGGGCGAAAGCCUGAUGGAGCAACGCCGCGUGCAGGACGAAGGCUUUCGGGUUGUAAACUGCUUUCAUCAGCGAGAAAUAUGACGGUAACUUACCAAUAAGGCUCGGCUAACUACGUGCCAGCAGCCGCGGUCAUACGUAGGAUCCGAGCAUUAUCCGGAGUGACUGGGUGUAAAGAGUUGCGUAGGUGGCAUAAGAAGUAGCUAGUGGAAUCUGGUGGCUCAACCAUUCAGACUAUUAGCUAAACUGUUAAGCUCGAGACCGUUAGGGGUAACUGGAAUUUCUAGUGUAGGAGUGAAAUCCGUAGAUAUUAGGAGGAACACCAAUAGCGUAGGCAGGUUGCUGGGACGGGUCUGACGCUGAGGCACGAAAGCGUAGGGAGCAAACGGGAUUAGAUACCCUUGUAGUC
rnacentral:rRNA from 1 species